UUGUACAAUGCCUGAUCCUUCUGUCCUGUACAGCUGUCAAGGAGUAAGGCAAAAUCUUUGUCCGUGUAAGGAGCAAUCACACGUUCAUUAAAGUCUUUCACUAGUCUUUUCUCCAUUUUUCCUGAUGCACUGCAAUUUACAAUGACAUUCGGCAUUUGUGCAAGUACCCUAUUCACCUGUCGCUGAACUUGCUUUCCAAAUACACCAUUUUUUCCUGCAAACAUUAAUAAAAUGUAGGUAAAAGAAAUCCUGCUUUGUUCAGAGCAUAUUGUAUGAUAUAACUAUGUGAAGUGUCAUGCAGCUGGCCUACAGUACAUUCCGUGUUGCCUUCUGCAACUAACGAUAACGUGCGGGUCAAUUUCAUUCCAUAGUUAAAACUGGACUGAGCUGUGUUGAUAAUACAUGCGUCUUCGCACUGUGGGAAUCUGACAUUAGUUUCUGUAACAAACGUCUUGGAACACUCUAAAAGUUCUUCCAGUUUAUUCACGUAGUUCUUGCUUACAUACUUCGUAAUCUUCCUUGCUCGUAAUUUUGUAUUUUCUUUUGAACGUGACAAGCCAAUCAGAUGAAGCCUUGAAGUCCAGGCCGAUUUGUUUAGUGUAAUGCAAUCCCCAAAUCUGUAGGUCUGUAUCAUGCACUUCACUUAAUUCAUUUCUGGCUUUAAUAAAUUGUCGGUGUACACGGUUUUCUAGUUCAUUGAACUUCUGUCUUCGGGUUCCACCUCAUUCCACGACUUCUUUGCAAUAUUUAAUUGUGCUUUUUUCCUCCAUCCUUUUAAAUUUCUUAAAUUUAUUUGUUACUUCACUCCAUGAUCUAUAUUUACGUCUUUUAAUUGGUUUGUACAGGAACUUGUAUUGGAGUAUUUCCUUCAUGUAACCCAAAGAAAUACCAUCAGAUUGAAGUCGCAGUAUUUCCUCUUCGUGUUCUUCGUACGGAUCGUCAACAAUCUCAUCAUCUGGUACAUACAGCCCCGAAGCAAUCAGCAAGGUGUGGCAGUCCUGCAAGUUACACAGAAGAGCCACUGUGAGGUUUGGAAGAUAGGAGAUGAUGUACUGGUGGCAAUAAAGCUGUGAGGAUGGGCUGUGAGCUGUACUCAGGCACAUCAGUUGGUAGAGCACCUGCAUGUGAAACAGCUCAAGCAGUCAGAACCUCAAAUGAACGUGAGCUUUCAAGAGGUCAGGAGAGUGGGCUCACCUGAU